AUGUCCGCCAAGCCCAAGGGGACCCCCACCACCUCCUCGUCGGCCACCUCCUCGUCCGUCUCCUCUCCCGCCGAAGGGGCGCCGGCCGCCUCCAAAGCCAAGGUCAAGGAGCAGAUCAAGACCAUCGUGGACGAUUUGGAAUUAGUCCUGGGGGACCUGAAGGACGUGGCCAAGGAGCUCAAGGAGGUGGUCGACCAGAUUGAUACACUGACUUCUGAUCUUCAGUUGGAGGAUGAGAUGACGGACAGCUCAAAAACAGACACAUUGAACAGCAGCUCAAGUAGCACAACAGCGUCAAGCUUGGAAAAAAUCAAGGUGCGAGCCAACGCACAACUCAUCAAGCCCCCAGCCCACCCAUCUGCCAUUCUUACAGUUCUAAGGAAACCCAAUCCCCCACCUCCUCCUCCACGGCUGACUCCUGUGAAGUGUGAGGACUCACAGCGGCCAGUUAUUCCUCCCAACCCUGUAAAGACUAAUGGGACUUUACUACGAAAUGGAGGUUUGCCAGGUGGACCAAAUAAAAUUCCAAAUGGGGAUAUAUGUUGUAUAUCUAACAGUAACUUGGACAAAGUUCCAAUGCAACCUAUGAUGCACAGACCUGAAAAAGACAGGUGUCCUCAGACUGGAACACGGGAACGGGUACGAUUUAAUGAAAAGGUGCAGUACCAUGGCUAUUGUGCGGAUUGUGAUGUUCGAUACAAUAUCAAAAACAGGGAGGUUCACUUGCACAGUGAACCUCCUCAUGUGCCGGGAAAGCUUCCUCACCAAUGUCCUCCCUUACCACCACCACCACCUCCACUGCCUCCUUUUCCACUAGAAAAUGGAGGGAUGGGAAUAAGUCCCAGUAGUAGCUUUCCCCCUCUCAGACCUGCAACUGUGCCUCCUCCACAAACUGCACCAAAACCCCAGAAGACUAUCUUGAGAAAGUCAACCACUACAACAGUGUGAUGUUAUCCCAUUUGGAAAACUGUUUUUUUUCCCUUAUGUAUAAACAUAAAAAGGUAAUGAGCACUUUCUACUCAAGCAAUAAAAAGCCCAAAUAUAUUGCACCCUUUCUUCUAUGAAGUGGCGUAAAAAUCAUGUGUCAUUGAAAGAAGAAGUGCCGACUCUUUUACAACUCUUCUACGCUGACAGCUCCUCCAGGCUGGAAGGAAUGUCAGAAUUUGGAGGCAUGUUAACUAGUUUCCCCAUGAAAGAUUUGACACUGCAACUUCUUUCAGGCCAUAUAUCAUUUAUAACAGGAGCUUUCCUUGGAGCUUGGAAGCCCUUGAGCCAGAGCACAACCGAUGGCUGGUGAAAUCUGCAUUAAAUGACUGACCUGAUAUCCAACAGCUAUGAGCCAAGGCCUGACAAAAGCCACAGCCUUAAGUACCCUUCAUGCUGACAGAAGAAGAAGAAGGAAAAUUAUUUUAUUGCCCCAUCACAGUAACAGCCAUCUCCAAAGCUUGCCAUUAGAGGAGCUCACUACUAAAAAAGAAAUUGGAAACAGCCAGUGGAAAUCCAGCUAGUGUCCAGAAUAGAUACAUGGAGCUAAAUAAAAGUUUGAAGCACUUAAAUCACUGCAGGAAAAUCAACGUAUUUACUCCCCUUCGAAAAGGUUAUCAUUUUGGAUGAAGAGAGAAGAUCACUGUUGUCUGUUUUGUAAAUUCAAAGCCAUAGAAGAAGAGAGGAUCUAUGAUUCUAAAAAUGCUUGGAAAGAGGUUGUUUCCUGUCUUCUGCCAAAAUAAUUCAGUUGUCAUAGAUUGCAUCUUAAUGCACUUCUAAUAUUUGCACUGUUGCUUCCAUUCAGGGGAAUGAUGUAGGCCAUCAUUUGCACAGAUGGCUGCAUGAAAUAUUAGUCCACAAGAAAAUGUAUCUUGACGGGCUUCUAUAUGAAAUUGAAUAGAAUCCAUCUACAAAAGUAAAAAAUAUAUAAGGCCCUUUCUAUUCUUUCACAGUUGGAAUCUUACUCAAAAAGCAAAUUGUUGCUCCUCAAGACUGAUGCUUUUUUUUAAAAAAAAAAAAAAAGCUCCCACGGGCCAGUCCAAAUUUUAGAGUGGAUCUAAUUUGUAAUACAUUUUUGUAUCAUUGUAAGAGUAAAGAAAUUGAGUUGAAUAGCUCACAUUGUCCUAAUGAAUAUUGGAAAUGUCCUACCAGUUGUACAAAGAAGGGGAAAGCAUUUGUACUACAUAUUUGACACAUAACAUUUUUAUAGCCAGUUAUCUGUCCUUCAUGGGAAAUGUACCAGCUAAACGGGCAUUUUCAGUUUAUUUUUCUAAAUAAAUGUGGUAUUUGUAUAAUUUGCAAUCACUUUAUUUUGCUGAUUUUCAUUGUAAGCCCAUAUUCUGCCCCUUUUACUCUCCUUCACUAUGAAGGGAGGUUUCGAGACAAGACCAAAACAUUUGUUUUGCCAUGUUAAAUCAUAAUGAUUUGCAGACUGAAAGCUUUAAUAUAAGAUGUUGUUUGUAGAAUUAUAAAAUAUAUUUCUACUGAAGAAUAUGUAUGGAGACCCAGAAAGGCUGUAUUUUAAUCUUUAAUUUCAAUACAUAGGUUAUUUUUAAUAUUCCUCCAAAAGUAUUUAGUUAAUUAGUUUGCUUAAAAGUUUUUGCAGAGGAUCUUGAUUCAGAUGUUUGCAAUUUUCAUCAGUGAUAGCCACAUCAGGAAUUAUGAGCCUGCAUGUACAUAACACAGGUCACAAUCCAACACUAGGCCUCUGCAUGCUUCAAGGACUCUGUUGUGCCAGUUCAUACUGAAGCUAGUACUAAUAAACAGGCUGGAAGAAUUGUACACAUAUGCUCCAACUCUGUGCUAGGACUGAAUCUGUGGAGCAGGACAUUGUGUUACAGUGGGAAACCUUCUUCCAGUAUAUUUCAGUAGAGCAUCUAGUCAUCUGUGCUAGUCAUUGUGCAUAGUCGAUUUCCAUCCAUACCACCCUGUAGAGGCUAGGAUGGAUACAGAAAAAGAUGGGUAGAUCAGCUGUGAAAUAGCUUCAUGGGCCCAGUACCUGCAUGCUGCCUGGUUGGCUUGGCCCAAGUUGUCUAUAGUCACUGUUCUACUGCACUCUUUUUUAGAGCUUAGGGGGAAAAUGACCCUUUUUGGACUACAGAUUUUAGAAGCUACAAGCCAACCUGGCCAUUGGAGUUUGGGAGCUAUAGUCCAAAAAAUAUAACUUUCCCAACAUUGCUGUUUCUUUGCAUUCAGAAUGCUCUUGGGGCAUUCUCCAGCUCUGACCUAUGGUAAUGUGUGAUCAAAUAGCUGACCUAUUGUAAUGUAUUAUCAAAUUUGAAUCUUUGCCUUCCUGCAAGGCAAAGGUGCAAAUGCACAUCUACCCUUCCUUCCACCUGCAUAGAGAAGGGCUAGACCAGGUGCAUGGUCUGCAGAUCAUUUUCAUGAAUAGGUUCAGUACUAAUGAAUCUAUAGCUGAUGUGUUGUACGGAGUGCUCUUAUUUCUGAAUGCUUGAUAAAAGCAUAAUUCAAAACCUCUGAAUAUUGCUAUGGUCAUAUUCACAAAUGACACUUUUUUCAUCAUGUGUCACUCCACUGCAAUUUUGGAAGUGAGAAAGAGCAAUUGUGAAGUCAAAAUCAAUGUGGGGCUUUUGUUUGCUUUAUGGGCAUAUAUAAUUCAAAUUCAAGUUCUAUAAUUCAACUUUCUUAGAAGUUAAUUUGAAUACAAAGACAUUGUUCUUUGUGCAUGUAUUUUAACUUUUUAAAUACAUGUUUUUGAGCCUUUAAUGUUGGUUGUCUUCUCUUUACAACAAUGAGGGCUAGAAGCUUAAUUGGUUUUUAUGUGAAAUCUGGGAAUCUCAGGAUUCUGACAAAUCAUUAUUUGCAAAAAUACAGUAUAGAGUAGAUUUCCUUGCAGCCAUAUGACUAUGUGGUCAUCCCCCUUUUGAUCUCAGAAGAUAAAACAAUUGUCAUUGUGGCCUGAUUCCUAAAUUACACAUCAUAUCAUGUGACUCUUGGGUAGCAGGGAUGUAUUCCCAAACUGUAACACAUGGUGCUGUUAAAGAUGAUAUUGCUGGAUCCAUUGCAAUCUGGAGAGUUGAAGGAUAAUACAUUGUCUGAUAAUCUUAACCACAGUCUGCAAACAGAAAGAGUCACUGUAUCCAUUCAAUGCAGUAUUUUGUUAUUAUCAGUUCAUAGAUUCCUUCAAUGCUAGAGUUCUUUUGAAUAAAAAUAUAUAUUUUCCUUUU